CACGUGUCCUUAACCAUAACAACGAUGGCGGGUGUGUUGAGACUGCACGAGAAUGACUUUAUUUUGGUCUGUAACGAGCUUGCUCUCUUUUCUAAAACUUAUCUCUGGGCGGUGAACAGAAGACCGCGCGCUCCCGUUAAGCCUUUCGUGCCCCGGAAAGGGGAGAGCAGAAAAGUCGUGGGACUGACAUCACUAAAAUACUUCUGACACUUUCAGGGAAGCCAUACUUGAAGUCUGAAUGAGACGUUACAAAAGAGAAACAGCAGGCAGUAUAAACCCAGGUGGACAACUUUGAGGACGUUUGGCAGCACAAUAUGAAGAUUGCUGUUGUUCGUGCUUCCUACGCUGAAGAUCCUGUAGAUGUCUCUCUUAUUCUUGACGGCAAGGAGGUUGUGACUGGAUGUGGAAAUACUGCAAAGUUCCAACUCCUGAGAUUACCAUGACCUGGAUAAGACAACAAAUGAAGUGGAAACAGCUGAUCAGUCACGUGACACAGAACUCAACAAGCACUGGCCACAGCUGCAGACACAUCGCUUUCUGGAGACUCUGCUUUACCUCCAUCUCCUGGAGAAUCACCGUUAUUUGGUGGAAAUAGGAU
ensembl:lncRNA